GAUGAACGCUGGCGGCGUGCCUAAUACAUGCAAGUCGAGCGAACGGACGAGAAGCUUGCUUCUCUGAUGUUAGCGGCGGACGGGUGAGUAACACGUGGAUAACCUACCUAUAAGACUGGGAUAACUUCGGGAAACCGGAGCUAAUACCGGAUAAUAUUUUGAACCGCAUGGUUCAAAAGUGAAAGACGGUCUUGCUGUCACUUAUAGAUGGAUCCGCGCUGCAUUAGCUAGUUGGUAAGGUAACGGCUUACCAAGGCAACGAUGCAUAGCCGACCUGAGAGGGUGAUCGGCCACACUGGAACUGAGACACGGUCCAGACUCCUACGGGAGGCAGCAGUAGGGAAUCUUCCGCAAUGGGCGAAAGCCUGACGGAGCAACGCCGCGUGAGUGAUGAAGGUCUUCGGAUCGUAAAACUCUGUUAUUAGGGAAGAACAUAUGUGUAAGUAACUGUGCACAUCUUGACGGUACCUAAUCAGAAAGCCACGGCUAACUACGUGCCAGCAGCCGCGGUAAUACGUAGGUGGCAAGCGUUAUCCGGAAUUAUUGGGCGUAAAGCGCGCGUAGGCGGUUUUUUAAGUCUGAUGUGAAAGCCCACGGCUCAACCGUGGAGGGUCAUUGGAAACUGGAAAACUUGAGUGCAGAAGAGGAAAGUGGAAUUCCAUGUGUAGCGGUGAAAUGCGCAGAGAUAUGGAGGAACACCAGUGGCGAAGGCGACUUUCUGGUCUGUAACUGACGCUGAUGUGCGAAAGCGUGGGGAUCAAACAGGAUUAGAUACCCUGGUAGUCCACGCCGUAAACGAUGAGUGCUAAGUGUUAGGGGGUUUCCGCCCCUUAGUGCUGCAGCUAACGCGUUAAGCACUCCGCCUGGGGAGUACGACCGCAAGGUUGAAACUCAAAGGAAUUGACGGGGACCCGCACAAGCGGUGGAGCAUGUGGUUUAAUUCGAAGCAACGCGAAGAACCUUACCAAAUCUUGACAUCCUUUGACAACUCUAGAGAUAGAGCCUUCCCCUUCGGGGGACAAAGUGACAGGUGGUGCAUGGUUGUCGUCAGCUCGUGUCGUGAGAUGUUGGGUUAAGUCCCGCAACGAGCGCAACCCUUAAGCUUAGUUGCCAUCAUUAAGUUGGGCACUCUAAGUUGACUGCCGGUGACAAACCGGAGGAAGGUGGGGAUGACGUCAAAUCAUCAUGCCCCUUAUGAUUUGGGCUACACACGUGCUACAAUGGACAAUACAAAGGGCAGCGAAACCGCGAGGUCAAGCAAAUCCCAUAAAGUUGUUCUCAGUUCGGAUUGUAGUCUGCAACUCGACUACAUGAAGCUGGAAUCGCUAGUAAUCGUAGAUCAGCAUGCUACGGUGAAUACGUUCCCGGGUCU
rnacentral:rRNA from 1 species